rnacentral:lncRNA from 1 species
AUGCGUGUGCAGGGGCUCUGGGACUUGGGCCAUCUUCUGCUUUCCCAGGCCAUAGCAGAGAGCUGGAUCAGAAGUAGAGCAGCCGGGACUCAAACCAGUGCCCAUAUGGGAUGCCAGCACUGCAGGCCGUGGCUUUUCCAGCUAUGCCACAGUGCCGGCCCCAGCAUCCAUUUUAAGACUGAUCUAUUCAAGACAUUUUAUGAGAUACAAUUUUCUAUCACAAUGAAAGUGUCCAGGCUCAAAUAACCAACAUCUAGGGAAGCACUGUUCAAUUUAAUUUUUUUUGUGUGUAGGGGGCAAAAGUGAGAAAAAGUACAGUAACAUUCAGAAAUAGAGAGGUUGAACAAUUGCCCAAGGUUGUAGAGUGAGUCAGAAAAAUGAAAUUGGUUUCUUUAUAACUUCUUCUUCUUCUUCUUUUUUUUUUUUUUUUUUUUUUUUUGGACAGGCAGAGUGGACAGUGAGAGAGAGACAGAGAGAAAGGUUUUCCUUUUGCCGCUGGUUCACCCUCCAAUGGCCACCACAGCUGGCGCGCUGCAGCCAGCGCACUGCGCUGAUCCGAAGGUAGGAGCCAGGUGCUUCUCCUGGUCUCCCAUGGGGUGCAGGGCCCAAGCACUUGGGCCAUCCUCCACUGCACUCCCGGGCCGUAGCAGAGAGCUGGCCUGGAAGAGGGGCAAUUGGGACAGAAUCCGGCACUCUGACCUGGACUAGAACCCGGUGUGCUGGUGCCACAAGGUGGAGGAUUAGCCUAUUGAGCCGUGGCGCCAGCCUUUAUAACUUCUUAUAUUCUUGCAUACUCACAGCCUUUCACACACAUAGCUUCCUUAUGUGUGCUGAUAUAUAACUUCCAUCACAUUUUUCUAGUUCAUAGAGAUGUUCCACAACUUCAAGUAAAGAAUUUAGAUACUCAUAUCAUUACCAUACAACCAAGCAAAGUAUUUUCAAAGGAAGGGGAGAAAUAUCACAUUUUUUUGGCCUAUUUUGCUAGCAUGUUGGCUACAUACCUUCUAGACUAUGUAGUAGGAAAAACAACACCCCCAUCUGCCCUCCUACAAUGGUGUCCAUUGCUAAUCCCCAGAAACUAUGGUUAUGUUAAGUUAUACAUCAAAAGGGCAUUAAAUUUGCCAACCAAUUGCUCUUAAGACUAGGAGCCUAUCCUGGAUUAUCCAAGUGUACUCCAUCAAUCACAAACAUUUUUAUAAAGUGAAUGAGGGAAGCAGAAAAUGAGCCCAAGAAGGUUGUGGGAAAAGGAUGAAGCCUGGAGUUGCUCACUUUGAAGACAUAGGAUGAGGUGACAAAUCAAGGAAUGUGGCAGCCUCUAGAUGCUGAGAAAGGCAAGAAACAGAUUCUUACCUAGAGUUCCCAGAAAGCACAAUUCUGCCAACACCUCAAGUUUAGCUUUGUCCAACCCAUGUCAGACAUCUGAUCUCUAGAAUCAUAAUUGAGUUUUAUUUAGAGCACUAGUUAUAGCAGCUAGUAAUGAAUACAAACCACAACUUAUGCUUUUUUUUAAAUUGUGCUUUCUAUUUACUAGUAGAAAAUUUGUUCAAAAGGAUUAAUGCAGAGACACUCAAUAGGAAGUCUGAAGAUGUUAAAUCUAUAGGUAAGUCAUUUGACACAACUGCUAUAUUUGUUUUGAACAUAAUUUAACAAUAGGAACUUGAAGGGUUGGGGUUUUUUAAUAAUCACAGAGUCAACUUGUGUAAGGUUGUAUGAAUAUUCUUCCUCAUUUUUGCUAAUACAAAAUGUCUGAUCCUCUAUAAGAAAUCACUACCACAUUUUUUCCUACAAGGUUUCAGGCUCCACCACAUAAAAUAAACUCAAGUAUUAUGGUUAAACUGUGUAUGAA